UUUUAAAUGAUUUGAGAUGGCCUCUCGCCCUAUUCAGUGUAACAGCUGUGGUAGUGGGUUUGGUCGCUCGCAUUUAAAUUGGAAGGGUAAUGGUGGACCGCACUUCUCCCUUAGUAGGACGUUGCGACCUGUCAAAUAAUAUCCUAAGUAUUUGGCUAAUUUGUCUGUUUUUAGGCAGUACUGAAAGGUAUUUCCUUUAACAGUUUUAGCCGUUUAGAUACUGGAUAUAAUUGACAGUAACGAAUCAUGGUGUUGAGCCACUUACUUUGUAAGUGUCCUUUAUGGCUGUUUGCAAGUGGGUUGGUUAAUUAGUUUUAGUCGGAUUUCGGUCCGUCUAACUAUUCCGCCUACUGUUGGUAAACUGUUCCUUGGACAGUGCUUAUAACACCGGUCGGCAGCGAUUCAGGUUCAGGCUCUUAUCCGACCCGUCUUGAAACACGGACCAAGGAGUUUAGCGUGUACGCAAGUCAUUGGGUGUAUAAAACCCAAAGGCGCAAUG
rnacentral:rRNA from 1 species